AGACGAGCAACUCUAUGAAGACGAGUCGGCAGUCAAUAAAGAAAGGAGGAAGGGAAGUGGAAAGGAUAGACGUCGAUGAUGAACGUUUUGAUAUGAUCUGGUAAAGAUCAUUCUUAAUAUUUCUGUAAAUAGGAUAUUACACAGUGACGUAUUUUUCAAUCACGAGAAAAUUGAAGUUUUCACUUUGGAUUCAAUGGGUUACGUAGAUUUUUAUUCUACACAGAAUUUCACGAUCAAGGUUACCCUUCUUAUUUGACUCUUGUGGAUUCUUAGCUCUGUUCCAAGCAAUAAGGUUAGGUUGGCCGAGCAUUAGGCAAUAUUAGACAGAUGACGUUCAACCCCAAACCAGAAGCAGGGUAAGUCUCACUCCCUUUACCUGUUCCUAAACAAAUUUAAUAAACCCACGAUUUCCGUGCCAAUUUCAACCCUUGGGAAGACGCCCGUGCCGUUUACUUUCCUUGGCCAAGUAUCGGUUCGUUUCGGUGUCUUCCUCGUUCCCUUGCGCCGUCAUCGUCAUCCCCUUAGAGUUGAAUUGAACGAGCUUUCCUGGGAUAAAUUUAUCUGUCGCUGUAAGGCCAGUGUUAUUUAACAGUCAAACGAGCAGCUUCUCAAAAGGAUCAGAGGGCUCACUACUCAAAAGGUGUUUUUACCAAGUUUUUCCUCGCGGACAACUGUAUUACUCCAGCCAACACUUUUCCCUAGGUGUAUUAGUCUUUGGAGUUAGGGAGUACGCAUGGACUUGAAUUUCCAGGCUCGCUCGCAUGGUUAACUUCGGCAAACAGAAAUUACCAUUUUAUUGGAAUGCUGACGACGUGCCUAUCAAGAUGGCAAUUUCACGUCAGAAGUGUACAAACUGUAUUUGCUGAAGGAUAUGAAAAAGGGCGGGAAAAAGGAAUCAAUUUGAAUAUACGUAAUACGUAGGUCAAAAGAGGAGCAGUACGUUUAAAUAUAAGCAAUCAACUUCAGACCAUCUGCAGACCCUUGGUGAUGUUCUCGACAUGUUCCUUAGCUCGAAGUCUUAAGGCUUGGAUACUGGAGGUACGAG